rnacentral:lncRNA from 1 species
GGGCGAGGCGGGCCGCGGGGUGGAGGAAGCGGCGGCGCCGGCAGGGGAAGAAAAGGAGGAGGAGGCGGCGUCGAGGCUUGCGGGGUGAGGAAAAAAAAGAAAAAAACGUUUCGGGACAAAAGAUUCUCCUGCGGGGUGAAAUUUCAGCCUCAAUAGCUAAUCACUAAGCGCACGCGCUUAGCAAGUAAUCUGUGUUUAGUGAGUCUGAUUGUGGGGCUAUUAGUAUUCUGUGUACGUUUAGUGGGGUGGACAUUGAGAUGAAUAUGUUGGUGCUUUUAUAAGUAGUAGAGAUUAGGAAUUAGACAAAUGAUUUACACUAGAUGUUCGAGUCGAGAAAAGGAGAGAAAAUAAAACUAACCAAGAAUAGGACUAAGUUCCCAUCUUAGAAAAGAAUGGACUAAGAGCCGUCUAAUAAUUAGCUAAGAGUUGUUACAGUUGUACACCACUGAAUUUAAUGUAAUAACAAUCGUGCAGAAGCUGCUCGGAACGCGACAUAUUUACCACUUACUUUAUCACCAACCUUGAUAACGUAGAGAACGAUACUACUGACUCUACUUCUUAAUUACAAAUACGAGGACAAUUCAAUGGAGUGGUGCAUAUAUAAACCCGACCAAGUGUGGAAUUUCACAUGUCUAAAUGAGAUCAAACAUUGUGAUUGAAGUUCUUGUGUGAUACUUCGGGUUUAGGCAAUAUAUAUAUAUAUACUUCGAAAUCGCCUUGUUGUUUUGCAGCCUUGAGGUAAAUCACUAUGU